rnacentral:rRNA from 1 species
UCGCGAAAACUUUGCAAUACACGCAAGUGUGACAGGGUCAUCCCGAGUGCCGACCGCUGAGGUUGGCUUUUACCCAGUCUAGAAAGCUGGGGGGAAUAAGGAGAGGGCAAGUCUGGUGUCAGCCGCCGCGGUAAUACCAGCUCUCCGAGUGGUGUGGACGUUUAUUGGGCCUAAAGCAUCCGUAGCUGGCUGAACAAGUCCCCUGUUAAACCCAACGAUUUAAUCGUUGGUCUGCGGGGGAUACUGCUCGGCUAGGGGACGAGAGAGGCAGACGGUAUUUCCGGGGUAGGGGUGAAAUCCUAUAAUCCCGGGAGGACCACCAGUGGCGAAGGCUGUCUGCUAGAACGCGCCCGACGGUGAGGGAUGAAAGCUGGGGGAGCGAACCGGAUUAGAUACCCGGGUAGUCCCAGCUGUAAACGAUGCAAGCUAGGUGUUUGGACGGCCACGUGCCGUUCUAGUGCCGCAGGGAAGCUGUUAAGCUUGCCGCCUGGGAGUACGAUCGCAAGAUUGAAACUUAAAGGAAUUGGACGGGGGUAGCAACCG